AACGAACGCUGGCGGCAUGCCUAACACAUGCAAGUCGAACGAUGCUUUCGGGCAUAGUGGCGCACGGGUGCGUAACGCGUGGGAAUCUGCCCUUGGGUUCGGAAUAACAGUGAGAAAUUGCUGCUAAUACCGGAUGAUGUCUUCGGACCAAAGAUUUAUCGCCCAGGGAUGAGCCCGCGUAGGAUUAGCUAGUUGGUGGGGUAAUGGCCUACCAAGGCGACGAUCCUUAGCUGGUCUGAGAGGAUGAUCAGCCACACUGGGACUGAGACACGGCCCAGACUCCUACGGGAGGCAGCAGUGGGGAAUAUUGGACAAUGGGCGCAAGCCUGAUCCAGCAAUGCCGCGUGAGUGAUGAAGGCCUUAGGGUUGUAAAGCUCUUUUACCCGGGAUGAUAAUGACAGUACCGGGAGAAUAAGCACCGGCUAACUCCGUG
rnacentral:rRNA from 1 species